CCUUAGUAGCGGCGAGUGAAGCGGCAAAAGCUCAAAUUUGAAAUCUGGCACCUUCGGUGUCCGAGUUGUAAUUUGAAGAUUGUAACCUUGGGGUUGGCUCUUGUCUAUGUUUCUUGGAACAGGACGUCACAGAGGGUGAGAAUCCCGUGCGAUGAGAUGCCCAAUCCUAUGUAAGGUGCUUUCGAAGAGUCGAGUUGUUUGGGAAUGCAGCUCUAAGUGGGUGGUAAAUUCCAUCUAAAGCUAAAUAUUGGCGAGAGACCGAUAGCGAACAAGUACAGUGAUGGAAAGAUGAAAAGAACUUUGAAAAGAGAGUGAAAAAGUACGUGAAAUUGUUGAAAGGGAAGGGUUUGAGAUCAGACUCGAUAUUUUGUGAGCCUUGCCUUCGUGGCGGGGUGACCCGCAGCUUAUCGGGCCAGCAUCGGUUUGGGCGGUAGGAUAAUGGCGUAGGAAUGUGACUUUGCUUCGGUGAAGUGUUAUAGCCUGCGUUGAUGCUGCCUGCCUAGACCGAGGACUGCGAUUUUAUCAAGGAUGCUGGCAUAAUGAUCCCAAACCGC
rnacentral:rRNA from 1 species